rnacentral:lncRNA from 1 species
UUUCCCUGGUUUUCAGUUUAUAUUUUUAGUUCCAUGGUGACAAGCUAGCAAUAUCUUGUGAGAAACUAAGGUGGAAAGAAAACUUUAACUGCACCUGGAAAGGCUGGAGCAUGCAAUAUUUUUUUAAAUACCUGAUUAACACCUGCUUAAAUAUUUUCUUCCAAUCUUUAAUUAAACAGUUAAGAAUCAAAGCUGUAAAACUACGAAUGGUUCUUCAAAUGGAGCCCCAGAUGCAGUCCACAACUAAAAUCUACUGUGGUCCCUUGGACCGGCCUGCUAGCCCAUGCUCCGAUGUUGAUGACAUCGAAGUCACCCCUCCUGAGGAAAUCUCAACUGCACAACCCCUGCUACACCCCAAUUCAGCAGGAAGCAGUUAGAGCAGUCAUUAGCCAACCUCUCCAACAGCACUUGGGUUUUCCUGUUGAGGAGGGGACUGAGAGACAG